rnacentral:rRNA from 1 species
UACGGGGGGGGGCAAGCGUUGUUCGGAAUUACUGGGCGUAAAGGGCUCGUAGGUGGCCAACUAAGUCAGACGUGAAAUCCCUCGGCUUAACCGGGGAACUGCGUCUGAUACUGGAUGGCUUGAGUUCGGGAGAGGGAUGCGGAAUUCCAGGUGUAGCGGUGAAAUGCGUAGAUAUCUGGAGGAAUACCGGUGGCGAAGGCGGCAUCCUGGACCGGCAUUGACGCUGAACAGCGAAAGCUAGGGGAGCAAACGGG